rnacentral:rRNA from 1 species
AGAACGAACGUUGGCGGCGUGGAUUAGGCAUGCAAGUCGCGGGAAUCCCCAGCAAUGGGGGGAACCGGCGUAAGGGGCAGUAAGGCAUGGGUGACCUACCCGGCGGUUGGGCAUAGCCCGUAGAAAUACGGGGUAAUUCCCAGCGAUGUCGUAAGACCAAAGCUCCGGCGCCACCGGAGGGGCCCAUGUAGUAUUAGCUAGUUGGUGGGGUAACGGCCCACCAAGGCGAAGAUGCUUAGCGGGUGUGAGAGCACGACCCGCGCCACUGGCACUGAGACACUGGCCAGACACCUACGGGUGGCUGCAGUCGAGAAUCUUCGGCAAUGGGCGCAAGCCUGACCGAGCGACGCCGCGUGUGCGAUGAAGGCCUUCGGGUUGUAAAGCACUGUCGAGGGGGAGAAAGCCGAAAGGUUGAUCUAUCCCUGGAGGAAGCACGGGCUAAGUUCGUGCCAGCAGCCGC